GCAGUCCAGGGUUUGUCGAAGCCACCUGUGACGCCGUCGCUGGCGGAUCCGAUGGGGUCGAACAAGACGAGCAGAGGCGGCGGGGCGACCGCAUCUCCUUGUGCCCGUCUCCGGGACGCCUACCACGACUGCUUCAACAGGUGGUAUUCGGAGAAGUUCUCCAAGGGCCAGUGGGACAAAGAAGAGUGCGUCGCCGAGUGGGACAAAUACAGAGCCUGCCUCGCGCAACAUUUGGAAGACAAACAUCUGAGGCGUAUACUCUUGGAGGCAGAAGCUUCUUCAUAUUUUGUUAAAAAUGAUGCAAGCUCCCCUGCAGAUAGAGAUGGCACCACCCACCAGUGACUAUAUAUUCAUGAGGUGCUUCUUGUUCUCCAAGUUUGCACUCAUUAUUUGUGAUAUUGCAUCAUUUGGUCACAAUGAGAAGAUGUGUUGAUUAUGAUAGUGUCGUAACCGUAGCAUGCAAGUGGGUGGAGGUGUAUUUUAGGCUUUGUUCAGAUUUGUCAGCAACAAAUUUUGAUUUACUAGGAUCGGGAAGAUGAAACCGACUCCGUAGUUAAUUAGCCGGGUACUUCUGUUUCUUCUUCUGUUCCUUGCUUUCUUCUUCUGUUGACGGCAGAAGGAAAAUCGAAGAGUGAAAGUUUCACUGGAAGACGGAGAGAUAUCGUCAAAAGGAUUGAGGUCUAUGGGUACAACCAUAUGGUCCUCGGGACGGCCUGUAUUCCUAGUACAGAAGAGCUUGCUUGCUUGCUUGCUAGCUAAAUCUUUCCAGUGGCAAAACUAUGGAGGUCCGGAGAACUUCAAAUGGCAACUGAAGAAAUCAGAGGAAGUCAAAAUGCAGGCAGAUGAUGGUUCUUGCAAUUGUACUAAUUAAUGGAGUGUAUGGCUAAAACUUCCAAGUUUUCUCCAGGCUGCUAAGAUUCUUGAGUUCUGGAUUUUCAUUAGCAAGUAAUAGUAAGAAAAUCAACACACGACCAUAUUCCCAAUAUAUAUAUAUAUAUAUAUAUAUAUAUAUAUAUAUAGUUUGGACAUCAUCAUGUCUUAUGCUUCGUCUUGUUGUUGUCGUUGUUGUGAAAGCCUUUUAGACCAUAUAUUCUUCUUUUAAUUGUUGGUUGUUACUCAAGUCAGCAUGCUGUAGUAGUACUACAACUAUACACUAGCCAUCGUGUAGCUACUUCUUUUUGUAUCUUUCAAUUGGUGAUGGGUAUCUUUCAAUCU